AUGCGAGUCGAGAAGGUUCGGCCCUCGGCGUACUGCUCAGUAACACGUGGAUAACCUACCCUGGGAUGGGGGAUAAUCUCGGAAAACUGAGGAUAAUACCCCAUAGGUCUGGGAGGCUGGAAUGCGCCCAGACUAAAAACUCCGGUGUCCCAGGAUGGGUCUGCGGCCUAUCAGGUUGUAGUGGGUGUAAAGGACCCACUAGCCGACGACGGGUACGGGCCAUGGGAGUGGUAGCCCGGAGAUGGAUUCUGAGACACGAAUCCAGGCCCUACGGGGCGCAGCAGGCGCGAAAACUUCGCAAUGCGCGAAAGCGCGACGAGGGGAUUCCAAGUGCAUGCACUCAGUGCAUGCUGUUUUCCAGUGUAAACAGCUGGGAGAGUAAGGGCUGGGUAAGACUGGUGCCAGCCGCCGCGGUAAUACCAGCGGCCCUAGUGGUGAUCGUUAUUAUUGGGCCUAAAAGCGUCCGUAGCCGGCUCGGUAAAUCUCUGG
rnacentral:rRNA from 1 species